rnacentral:rRNA from 1 species
UACAGAGGGUGCAAGCGUUACUCGGAAUUACUGGGCGUAAAGCGAGCGUAGUCGGUUAUUUAAGUCGGAUGUGAAAUCCCCGGGCUCAACCUGGGAAUUGCAUUCGAUACUGGAUAGCUAGGGUUCGGCAGAGGGAAGCGGAAUUUCGGGUGUAGCGGUGAAAUGCGUAGAUAUCCGAAGGAACAUCAGUGGCGAAAGCGGCUUCCUGGACCAGAACUGACGAUCAGGCUCGAAAGCGUGGGGAGCAAACAGG